UACGUAGGGGGCAAGCGUUGUCCGGAAUCAUUGGGCGUAAAGAGCGCGUAGGCGGCUAGAUAAGUCCGGUGUGAAAGUCACAGGCUCAACCUGUGAAUGCCGCUGGAAACUGUCUGGCUAGAGUCCGGAAGGGGCGAGUGGAAUUCCUGGUGUAGCGGUGAAAUGCGCAGAUAUCAGGAGGAACACCAAUGGCGAAGGCAGCUCGCUGGGACGGUACUGACGCUGAGGCGCGAAAGCGUGGGGAGCAAACAGG
rnacentral:rRNA from 1 species